CUCCCCUCCCGUCACUCACUGCGCGUCUUUGAGGAUGCACGCAGGCACAGCGCGUCUUAUCAGUCUGCCCUCCCUCCCUCCGCCAUCAUUCAUUAUUAUCCCUCUUUUCCUUCCCACUAGCCUCACAGGUCGCCAUAACCUGCUCGAGACUUUUACCCGUUUCCGCCGUUUGGUUUUUAACCCCACGGGUAACGUUUACCGAAGGGAGGCAGAUCAGUGUGUCGGUGCCCCCUCCCUCCUCUCCUCUCUACCAGACAGAGACAGACAUGCUCCACGGUGGGUGCUCGCGCUUCCCGCCUCCUUUCCCCUCCGGGAGUCGGUGAGUAGAGAGGUCUUCAAAUGAGACCAUAAAGGGUUAUAUCUUCUGACCAACACAACCACAGACCUCCAACCGUGUUCCCACAGUAUGGUCAUGUCCAGCAGUGUACACAACGAUCACAGCGGUCACAACCUGUCCUCAACCACAACCACGCACGGUCACCACCCUGAUCAGAGUGGUGCGGUCGCCGUGGGCGGUUGUGGUCUCACUCCGGUCCUGGACUAUACGGCUGAGAUGGAGCGAUACCAAUCCUUCGCUAACUUCUACGCUAAAACCAACGUGAAUAUGAACGCAGUUAACAGCAUGAACUUCCCUCAGUCGGCCAAGCUCGCCCACAUCACCGCUCCCAUGUUCCCCGCCGGCAGGCUCGGAGUGGGCGUGGCGGGCGUGUCGCCGUGGGGUUGUCAUGACAACAUCAACAUGAAUAUGAACGUCAACGCGGCGAUGCUUUGGGGGCGGAAACCUCUCGUGCAUCAGGCCACGCCCCUAGCGCCACCCGCAACACACCCGUCGCCCUCGACAACGCACAUGCAGCCCCACCGGACCGGUCAGGGCGGAGAGGGCAAACAGCACGAAAGACAUGGAGGACACACCCCCUCACAGGGACAGGAAAUGCAUCAUCAUCACGGGAAUAACAACUUCCAGUCCGGCUAUGCUGUCGCCAAUCACAUGACCAAACAGGGCCAUGCCCACCAGGACAUGCUCAGCAACGGAGGAGGAGGCGGAGUCAACAUGUCCAACUUUCCCGCCGGAAUGUUGGGGUUACCACCCGGAGUCAUCGUCAUGGCGAUGGGGUCGCACAAUAACAUUUCGGACUCCUCCCACUUCCAGAUGACGACCAAUCAUAACCAACUUCUGUCGGACUGCCACCAUGUCAACCAGACAAACCCCUCACCCUGCUCUUCAACCUCGCCGGGGAUGACCUCUGGGGGUCAGGGGUCAGGAGCCUCCAAGAGGAAGAGGAAGCGGUGUGGAGUGUGUGCCCCCUGCAGAAGACUGAUUAACUGUGGGGUGUGUUCAGCCUGUAGAAACAGGAAGACAGGUCAUCAGAUCUGUAAAUUCAGGAAGUGUGACGAACUGAAGAAGAAGGCUGGGAUUAUACAGCUAGAGAGUCCUCCCUCGGUGCCCAGUGGAGAAGCUUUCAGAUGGUUCUUCUAGAUGUCAGACCACAACCUCACUCCAAAUGUGACCACAACCUCACUCCAAAUACCGUUCUGGACAAUACCAGGGUGAACCAGGUACAAAACCAGGACGAACCAGGUCCCAUACCAGGACAAUACCAGGGUGAACCAGGUCCACAAUCAGGACAAUACCAGGGUGAACCAGGUCCAAAACCAGGACAAUACCAGGGUGAACCAGGUCCAAAACCAGGGCGAACCGUUGCACCAUCAUUUAACUCAACCAUGGAUGAUGCUAUCAUGGAUUAUAACAAGGGUUAUUUUUGGAACUCUGAAGACAAUCAUUGUUCGACCACAACUAACUGACUGGCAAAGCAACAGAACUUUAGAACUCAAGAAGGUUCCGCUCAUUUCCUCAUGUUCCAAGAGGAGUACAACUACAGAGCUGUCUAGAAUCAUCACAUAAUAUUCCAGAACUAUUUUGUUAGAAUUUUUAUCCCAAUGGUUGAACUCAACUAUCACUAUAGCUUUGACCAAUUCCCAGAAGAUUGUAAGACCCUGGUUAAUGAAGAAUUAGACAAAGCCCCCAGUCUGCAAUAAAUCAAUCCAUUAUUCAGAGUACUCUGAAGUUUAAAAAAAUGCAAACACAGUCAUUUUAUAACUCCCACCUACACACAGUUUAUCACUUUUCUACCAAGCCUGGCAGUUUCUAGCUGUUCCUCUCCUCCCUAGAUUAGAGGGGCCUUGCAAGGGCCCUCUUUCCUGUUGUCAGUUUUCAGAGUUAUAACAACUCGACAGUUCAGUUGGCCUUGAAUGUCUCAACUCUACCCAGCUCAUAUUGCGAAAUAGUAACACAGUGGUCUAGUCACACACAUUAUGGAAUUAUUACUCUAACACAUUUCAUACAAUUACAUGAUUUCAGGUUGGAAUCCUUUAGUCAUUACUUUAAACAUAUCAAUUCCUUUAUCACUAUAUUGUGCACUACUUUUGAAUUUUGCAUAUAGUGCAUUAUAUAGUAUAUUACUUUGAAAGUAGUACAUUAUAUAGAGAAUAAUAGGGUGCCAUUUUGGUACCCUUUUCGUUGAAUAAGCCCCUCCUCUCUAAACUGUCUGGGACCCUUUUUAUUGAAUAAGCCCCUCCUCUCUAAACUGUCUGGGACCCUUUUCCUUGAAUAAGCCCCUC